UACGGAGGGGGCAAGCGUUAUUCGGAAUUAUUGGGCGUAAAGGGCAGGUAGGCGGCUUCGUGUGUCCCUUGUGAAAGCCCUCGGCUCAACUGAGGAAUUGCAAAGGAAACUACGGAGCUUGAGUCCGGGAGAGGAGAGUGGAAUUCCCAGUGUAGCGGUGAAAUGCGUAGAUAUUGGGAGGAACACCGGUGGCGAAGGCGGCUCUCUGGACCGGUACUGACGCUGAUCUGCGAAAGCCAGGGGAGCAAACGGGAUUAGAUACCCCGGUAGUCCUGGCCGUAAACGAUGAGCACUUGGUGUGGCGGGUAUCGACCCCUGCCGUGCCGAAGCUAACGCAUUAAGUGCUCCGCCUGGGGAGUACGGUCGCAAGGCUGAA
rnacentral:rRNA from 1 species